ACAAGCGUCCAUCCAGGUUCCUGACACCAGGACUCUCUAGAAGAAAGAAAAGGCCAAGAGGAAACUUCCAAGGAAGCUAUUUGUCACCUUGUCCCGACUUGCAGAUGGGGAGUGAGGAAAUUUGUCCCAAGGAUCACGGCUGGGAAGCGGCCAGGCGCAGCGUCCCACUCGGGCCUGGGUGAUGCUCAGUCCUCCCUGUGAUGGAUCCUCCUGCCCCGCCCUGUCUGUGGGUCCAGCCUGCACAAUGUCUGUGAAGCGGUUCAGCGAACACUGUGAGCACGUGUUGCCAAGAUGCCUAGCCCCAUGGAGGGCAGCUUCCAGAGGAGGGAAAAGGCUCAGAGCAGUCAAUCUCCUUGUGCAGGCGCCACAGCUAAGAGCCGCUGCAGAACCACGCAGCACGCUGACUUGCCCCCGGGAGUCCCCUGUGGCACCGGGCUUCAUGUGGCUCUGUGUUGGGGGCUGGCACGGGCAGCGGGGCACCAGCUUCUCCCUCAGACGUGAACCCGAGGCAGAGAUAAGAGCAGCCUCAAGAUGCCACCUUCAGGACACCGAAGUGUCGUCUUCAGGACACCAGACAUUGGAAACGAAGCUUUGCUCCCGGGAACAUGUCAGGUAA
rnacentral:lncRNA from 1 species